UCAGACGAUGCGUCAUGCAUAUCAAUAAGCGGAGGAAAAGAAACUAACAAGGAUUCCCCUAGUAACGGCGAGUGAAGCGGGAAGAGCUCAAAUUUGAAAUCUUAAAGGGUUUCCCUUUACGAAUUGUAGUUUAAAGAAGUGUUUUCUGUUGAGGUUUUGGUAAAAGUUCUUUGGAAUAGGACAUCAUAGAGGGUGAGAAUCCCGUAUUUGACCUUUACUUUCAACUUUGUGAUACACUUUCAAAGAGUCGGAUUGUUUGGGAAUGCAGUCCAAAAUGGGUGGUAAAUUUCAUCUAAAGCUAUAAUAUUGGCGAGAGACCGAUAGCGAACAAGUACCGUGAGGGAAAGAUGAAAAGAACUUUGAAAAGAGAGUUAAACAGUACGUGAAAUUGUCAAAAGGGAAGCGUUUGACACCAGUGUUGUUUUUCUGAAAAUCAAUUAAAGAACUGUUUAUGCUAAGUUGUUUAGGACUUUAUCAGCUAUCUGUUUAGUUUUGAGCUUUUCUUUAAUGCACUUUUCAGUUAACAAGUCAACAUCAAUUUCAUUUGCUGUAUAAAAGCUUGAGGAAGGUGGCUUGAGAUUCGUCUUAAGUGUUUAUAGCCUCUUGCCUAUGCAGUCGGAGAGAUUGAGGUCUGCAGCGUAGAUCCUUCGGGGCUAAAUGCAUUUGUGCUAAGUUAUAGCAUUUUAUAGACAACUUGUUGACUAUGAUUUGUCUUGUAGCUUACUCGCUUAUGUUAUUUUACCUACGCUUAGGAUGUUGACACACGCGCGUGCUCG
rnacentral:rRNA from 1 species